GUGUUGUGUCUUGUUCUUGUUCUGUGCUACACCAAUCGCACGCUUAAUGCUAUAUUAAUCCUGCAACACACCAGACGCUUGCUAUCGCAAACCCGACGAAUUUGUUAUCGUAAGAGUGAAGCUGCUGAAAUCUAGUGAAGAGGGAAUUGACAAAAUGGCGCCUCAUAAACCCUAAGAGCCCAGCUAUUUGAUAAGAAAUUAAAUGGCUUCAAAAUCUCCUUUCCUAAUGAAGUCUUUUGGAUUCAGCAAUGCCUUCAGGCCGAGUCUCCUUUUCAAUAUAAUUUCUUCCGACAUACAACAGAAUCUGCGGAGAGGAAGAAUCAUUUGGACUAAAAUAAGCAGUUGUUAUUUUUCAUCUGCAGGCUCCUUGGUGAGGGCUGUACGUACCUAGAGGUCUUGGUGAGCUCAAUUCCUCCUUCGUGUUAGGUCGUUGGACAUUGUCUUCCUGAAAGCUGCCAAGGUUCUAGAAAGAUGACAGAUGAUAAGAUGCAUAUCGUUGGAAUUUAUACAGCCUGACAUAUGCUGUUGAAGCCUCAGACCUAGAAGAUGAUAAACUUCAUGAUGAUAUU